AGAAUCAACGCUGGCGGCGUGCUUAACACAUGCAAGUCGAACGAGAAAGUGGAGCAAUCCAUGAGUAAAGUGGCGCACGGGUGAGUAACACGUGACUAACCUACCCUCGAGUGGGGAAUAACUUCGGGAAACCGAGGCUAAUACCGCAUAAAACCUAAGGGUCAAAGGAGCAAUCCGUUUGAGGAGGGGGUCGCGGCAGAUUAGUUAGUUGGCGGGGUAAUGGCCCACCAAGACGAUGAUCUGUAUCCGGCCUGAGAGGGCGCACGGACACACUGGAACUGAAACACGGUCCAGACUCCUACGGGAGGCAGCAGUGGGGAAUUUUGCGCAAUGGGGGAAACCCUGACGCAGCAACGCCGCGUGGAGGAUGAAAUCCCUUGGGAUGUAAACUCCUUUCGAUCGGGAAGAUAAUGACGGUACCGGAAGAAGAAGCCCCGGCUAACUUCGUGCCAGCAGCCGC
rnacentral:rRNA from 1 species